UUGUGAUGAAUCCCAAACUGAAAUAGCUGGAAUUACCGGCAGACUGUUAGUGGUGACAUUCGGUUUUCUGAAC
ensembl:snoRNA